rnacentral:lncRNA from 1 species
AUGCCUGGGGCCACCCCGCUGCCCCCUGUCCCCGCAGGAGAAGGGCUCCACGUUCCUGCAGCUGGGCUCCUCGACGGAGCAGCAGCUCCAGGUGAUCUUCGAGGUGCUGGAGGAGUACGACUGGACGUCCUUCGCCGUCGUCACCACGCUGUUCCCCGGCCACGAGGACUUCGUGGACUACGUGGAGGUGCUGACCGACAGCAGCUUCAUCGGCUGGGAGCACCGCGGGGUCCUCACCCUCAACCUGACCGACGACCCCGAGGGGACGCGGCUGCGGCGCCAGCUCCGCGAGCUCAGCGCCCAGAUCCGGCUCCUCUACUGCUCGCGCGAGGAGGCCGAGGCCGUUUUCCGGGCGGCGCGGGAGGCCGGGCUGGCCGGGCCCGGCUACGUCUGGUUCGUGGUGGGCUCCAACCUGGGGGGCAGCGAGGAGCUGCCCGAGGACGUCCCCGCCGGGCUCUUCGCCGUGCUCUCCGCCGGCUGGCGCGACGACCUCCAGCACCGCGUGCGCAAUGGCGUGGCCAUCGUGGCCAAGGGCGCCGAGGCCCUGCUGCGGGACUACGGCUUCAUCCCCGAGUUCAACAACGACUGCCGGGCGCCCAACGCCACCCAGGGCAACGACGACCUCCACCGGUACUUCACCAACAUCACCUGGGGGCACCGCGACUUCUCCUUCAACGCCGACGGCUUCCUGGUCAACCCCUCGCUCGUGGUCAUCGCGCUCACCAAGGAGCGCAGCUGGGAGGUGGUGAGCAGGGGGGGGGGGANNNNNNNNNNUCUGCAUUUGAGGUCCUGGGGGUUUCUUGGGUUUGGGGGUUUUUAGUUGUUUUUUGACACUUUUUUUUUUUUGUGUAUGUUUUUUGCCAUCCAUUUUGGGGGGGUUUGUUGGUUUCUUGUUUUUUUCCAUUCUGGGGGUUUUGUACUUUUUUGCCAUCCGUUGUUUUUUUGGUUUGUUUCUGUGUUUGGUUCAUUUUCUCUUCGCUUUUUUUGCCAUCUUUUUUUUUUUUUUUUUUUUUUCCUCCCUUUUUUUUUUUUUUUGUUUUUUUUUUUCUUCUGCAUGUCCUUCCUUAAUGAUUUAUAGCUUUUGGAGACACUGUAUCAGUACAGUAGUGAUAGAAUGCUAGUNNNNNNNNNNUUUUCUGUUUUUUUCAUCUUUUUUUUUUUUUUUUUUUUUUUCCCAUCCGUUCUUGUUUGUUUGGCUUUUUUUUGUUUGUUUUGUUUUUGGCUUCUGUUUUUUGAUUUUUUUUCCAUCCUUUUAUUCUGCUUGUUUGGUUUUGUUUUUUUGUGCUUUUUUUUUUCCUCUUUUUAUUUUUCCAUCUGUUUUUUUUUUUAAUUAUUAUAAUUAUUACCCUUUUUAUUAUUAUUAUUUUUCAUUUUCUUUUCCCAUCCAUGUACUUUAAUUUUAUUUCAUUUUAUGUUUUUUUUUUCCACACAUUUUUUUCCCAUUUCCCCCCUUUGUGUUUUUCCUUCUUUCCCAUCCUUUUUUUUUUUUCCCAUCCUUUUUUUAAUUACCAUUUUUCCUUUCGUUUUCUUUUCCUCCCCACUUUUAAUUGUAUUUCAUUUUUUUUUCCACGCAUUUUUUCUGUUUUUUGUUUGUUUGUUUUUCCAUAUUUCCCCCCUUUCUUGUUUUCCUUGUUUCCCAUCCAUUUUUGUUGUUGUUGUUUGUUUUUUUCCACUUGUUUUUUUGGCGCUUUUUUUUCCUCAUAUUUCCCCCCUUUGCGUUUUCCCUUGUUUCCCAUCCAUUUUUUUUACUUUUUUUUUUCUUUUUCCACCCAUUUUCUUGCAUUUUUUUUCCCUAUUUCCCCCUUUCCCAUUUCCUUAUUUCCCACCCAUUUUUCACCAUUUUUUUUUACCCCCCCCUCCCCCCCCAGGUGGGCAGCUGGGAGCGGCGCGUGCUGCGCAUGAAGUACCCGUCCUGGGGGGGCUCCGGGGGGGGGCUCCCGCGGCCGGUGGCCGAUGGCCGGCACCUGGCGGUGGCCACGCUGGAGGAGCGCCCCUUCGUCAUCGUCGAGGGGGUCGACCCCCACACCGGGACCUGCAUCCGCGACUCCGUGCCCUGCCGCCAGCAGCACAACCGCACCCACGGGUAGGGGGGG